rnacentral:piRNA from 1 species
CAGGCUCUGGUGAAAUGGCGUCAGGAUGC